rnacentral:rRNA from 1 species
UUCGAGGUGACCUGCGGAAGGAUCAUUA